CCCAAAGGAUAAAUGUCCAGGGUGGAUGGGAGCCGGCAGAAAUAUUAGCACCCGAUCGAUGAAGUAUCAUGAAAGCGUUCGGACCACAGCUGCUUCUUUUGCUGGUGCUGCUGGGAUUCAUUGCUGGACAGGAGAUGAGGAUCCCACUGACCAGACGAACCUGUGCCAGUUGGAGAGGUCUCUGCCGCCGCUCCUGCCUGGCUCACGAGAUCCACCUCGGUGUUCACGGCUGCCCACGUCACUAUAGAUGCUGUGUGCUGAGAACCUAGCACAGGCAGGAGGUCUAGGAAAUCCAUCACUCCAACGAAGGGAAGGAUGUUCCAGGUACACACUGACCAGAAGAAGAUUGGCGCCUGUUAUAGACAGCAUUUGCAAUACAAUGCUACCUUGGUUCUCAAACUUAAUCCGUUCUGGAAGUCCGUUCCAAAACCAAAAGCGUUCCAA